CCACUGCACCCCAGCCUGGGUGACAGGGCAAGACCCUAUCUCAAAAAAAAAAAAAGAAAAAAAAGAAAACGGGCUUGUAGAUCUGGCUCUCCCUGAUUCACUGUGUGAUCUUGGACAAACACGGCCCUUUCCCUGGGCCUCAGCAUAUUCUUCUAUGAAAUCAGAAGGUGGGACUCAGAUCUUCUAGCCCAAGUCUUUGAUUCUACAGUGAGAUUCAUCUGUCGACCUCCUCUAAUGAUCCAAGAUGACCAGGACUCCAAGCCCAGCCACUCCUCCACCAUGCCCAAAGAAGGACUUGGCAGCCCAUUCACUCCUUUCCCAGAACUGAAAAGUCUGCAUAUGGAGGCCCGGGAAUAAGUGAGGCCCAGAGGAGGUAACUGCAAAGGACCAUGAUGAGCAUCCAGGAAUCUCCAUUCCCAUCACCAAAGCAGGAAGGACGGGGUCUAAAGCUGCUCUGCCAAGCUGGGAGGACAGACAUCAUCCCAACGCCGUCCCCACCGCGCCCCCCUGCGGUUCACGUCAAAUCUUAAUAGAAUGCAAUGCCAGAAAAGCAGCUCUGAUGACGGGCAGGGCCACUCCUCUCCCCAGGCAGGUGAACCCUGAAGCCCCUCCAUGGGACUCUGAACUCCUUGGGGCAGUUUAAAAACCACUGCUCUGAGAGGGGAUCCCACUGGGACGGGAUCUACUGUGAACGACCACAGGCUGUGGAUCGUUAAAGUACCACCUCUUUGGGGCCCCUCAGGUACACAGGGCGUGUGGGAACAGCAUGGCAGCCGCCAAUACUGCUGCAGCGGAGUGUACUUCUCACAACUCCCGCUUCUGCUGGAAAAAUGGCCUUCUCAGGAAGGUCGUCCUUACCAAAAUGCAGUUACCCUCCCCUGCCACAAUCCAAACACAAAUGCUUCUUUACAACAGGCUAGGAGUCGCUACAGCCUUCUCUCUCUCUCAGAAUCUGUGCUAACACGCAUGACUUCUGUUGCUGUCUCACACAUGUAGGUCAUCUCCAAAGCUACAGACAAACCCUCACUUAUCUCCAUAUGGGAUAAGACAGGCUGGAUCCCUUAUGGGUCACGUGGGCUUGUUUAAAGAGAGCAGAAAAUCAUCCUCCUGAAAGGUAAACAAUACCCAGACUGGGGCCUCUCCCACAGAAGGCUGGCACGUAGGAAUGAACUAGGAGGCCCCUGGCACGGGUGAAACCACUAUACUCGUUCUCCUCCCAAAUAAAACGCGUGAGACAUACGAUUUUC